UACGAAGGGGGCUAGCGUUGCUCGGAAUCACUGGGCGUAAAGGGUGCGUAGGCGGGUCUUUAAGUCAGGGGUGAAAUCCUGGAGCUCAACUCCAGAACUGCCUUUGAUACUGAAGAUCUUGAGUUCGGGAGAGGUGAGUGGAACUGGCGAGUGUAGAGGUGAAAUUCGUAGAUAUUCGCAAGAACACCAGUGGCGAAGGCGGCUCACUGGCCCGAUACUGACGCUGAGGCACGAAAGCGUGGGGAGCAAAC
rnacentral:rRNA from 1 species